GGCAACGUGGCAGAGUGGUCUAAUGCGCUACCCUCGAAUUGGUGAAAGGUAGUAACUUCGGUUGCACAGGUUCGAAUCCUGUCGUUGUCG